rnacentral:rRNA from 1 species
GACGAACGCUGGCGGCGUGCUUAACACAUGCAAGUCGAACGGUGAAGGGACCGGUUUUUGCUGGUUCUGGAUGAGUGGCGAACGGGUGAGUAACACGUGAGUAACCUGCCCCCUUCUUCUGGAUAACCGCAUGAAAGUGUGGCUAAUACGGGAUAUUCUGCGCCUGCUGCAUGGUGGGUGUGGGAAAGAUAUUGUUUCGGUGGGGGAUGGGCUCGCGGCCUAUCAGCUUGUUGGUGGGUGAUGGCCUACCAAGGCGGUGACGGGUAGCCGGCCUGAGAGGGUGGACGGUCACACUGGGACUGAGACACGGCCCAGACUCCUACGGGAGGCAGCAGUGGAGAAUAUUGCACAAUGGGCGCAAGCCUGAUGCAGCGACGCCGCGUGAGGGAUGGAGGCCUUCGGGUUGUAAACCUCUUUCGCCAGUGAAGCAGGCCUGUCCCUUUUGUGGGUGGGUUGACGGUAGCUGGAUAAGAAGCGCCGGCUAACUACGUG